GUGUGUGUGUGUGUGUGUGUGUGUGUGUGUGUGUGUGUGUGUGUGUGUUCUUGUAUUGCUACCCUUCUUGAGACAUCAACUGUCACGACGUGGACUAUGGCGCAGUUUCCUGCGUGAGUUGCUUUCCCGGAAUGCAAACGAACUUGACUGGACAUCGGAUGAAGAUGUGAUGCUCCUCAGGGAACAGUUGAAGGUCCCGUUCGGAGUCCAUUCCAGCUGGCUGCGGAUGCUCAACCAGCCGCCUUCCUCCGUACUUUUGAAAAUGUUCUGCUUCCCGGGCGUUGGGGGCUCACUGUGGGAAGACCAGAACACAUCCGCAUCCGGGUAGACGUCGUUGAAUGUGCAUACCGGACCGUCCUCGGACAGAACACCUUUGACCGCCCCGCAGCACUCUGGGGAGAACAUCAUCAGCAGCUUGGAAUUUGGGACAUGCUCUCCCUGAGAGUGUCAUGACGCGGAGUCGAACCCACGUUUCCUCUGC